rnacentral:misc_RNA from 1 species
GAAAGCCUACCUGCGCGAGGACUUCUUCUGGGCCUUCACCCCUGCCGCGGGGGACUUCAUCCGCUUCCGCUUCUUCCAACCUCUAAGACUGGAGCGGUUCUUCUUCCGCAGUGGGAACAUCGAGCACCCGGAGGACAAGCUCUUCAACACGUCUGUGGAGGUGCUGCCCUUCGACAACCCUCAGUCAGACAAGGAGGCCCUGCAGGAGGGCCGCACCGCCACCCUCCGGUACCCUCGGAGCCCCGACGGCUACCUCCAGAUCGGCUCCUUCUACAAGGGAGUGGCAGAGGGAGAGGUGGACCCAGCCUUCG